GGAAGUUGAUCACGUAACCACAAAAUGAAUUACUAUUGUUUGAGUUGAUAUCCUCAUUUUCACCAGUACAAAAUAUGAGGGGCUAAUAUCAAUAAAAAAAGCUAAAGUUGCAGGCUAUAUAAAAUAUUUGGAAGUAUAGUUUUUGUCCUACUAUCAGUGAACAGAUUUUGUAUUUCAGGUAUAAAUGUUGUAGUGCAUAGAAUUUUGUUGUUCAUGUUAUAAUUUGUCACUGAUUUUGCCUGAUUUUGCAAAGCCAUAUAACGUGAAAGAAGAGACUAUGACAGUGUAAGACUUGGUUGAGGGAUAAGAUUGAAUUUAAGUACUUGGGUAUGGAUAUAUGUGACCAUGGGAGAGGGUAUAGGUGUGCUGGAGGGUAUCAUUAUAGGAGGAAGUGUGAGAAUGUGGUACAGAAGGUAUUGGAAACAGCAUAAUCUCCCCAA